CGCACGGUGGAUGCCUUGGCACUAGGAGCCGAAGAAGGACGGGACUAACACCGAUAUGCUUUGGGGAGCUGUACGUAAGCGUUGAUCCAGAGAUUUCCGAAUGGGGGAACCCACUAUCUUUAGUCGGAUAGUAUCCUUACGUGAAUACAUAGCGUGAGGAAGGCAGACCCAGGGAACUGAAACAUCUAAGUACCUGGAGGAAGAGAAAGAAAAAUCGAUUUCCUGAGUAGCGGCGAGCGAAACGGAAAGAGCCCAAACCAAGAAGCUUGCUUCUUGGGGUUGUAGGACACUCUAUACGGAGUUACAAAAGAAAGUUAUAAAUGAAGCGGUCUGGAAAGGCCCGCCAAAGACGGUAACAGCCCGGUAGUUGAAAUGGCUUUCCCUCCAGAGUGGAUCCUGAGUACGGCGGAACACGUGAAAUUCCGUCGGAAUCCGGGAGGACCAUCUCCCAAGGCUAAAUACUCCCUAGUGACCGAUAGUGAACCAGUACCGUGAGGGAAAGGUGAAAAGCACCCCGGAAGGGGAGUGAAACAGUUCCUGAAACCGUGUGCCUACAAGUAGUUAGAGCCCGUUAAUGGGUGAUAGCGUGCCUUUUGUAGAAUGAACCGGCGAGUUACGAUUUGUUGCAAGGUUAAGCGGAAAAAGCGGAGCCGUAGCGAAAGCGAGUCUGAAUAGGGCGCAUAAGUAACAGGUCGUAGACCCGAAACCAGGUGAUCUACCCAUGUCCAGGAUGAAGGUAAGGUAAUACUUACUGGAGGUCCGAACCCACGCACGUUGAAAAGUGCGGGGAUGAGGUGUGGGUAGCGGAGAAAUUCCAAUCGAACUUGGAGAUAGCUGGUUCUCUCCGAAAUAGCUUUAGGGCUAGCCUCGAGGUAAAGAGUCAUGGAGGUAGAGCACUGUUUGGACUAGGGGCCCUUCUCGGGUUACCGAAUUCAGAUAAACUCCGAAUGCCAUGUACUUAUACUCGGGAGUCAGACUGCGAGUGAUAAGAUCCGUAGUCGAAAGGGAAACAGCCCAGACCACCAGUUAAGGUCCCCAAAUAUAUGUUAAGUGGAAAAGGAUGUGGGGUUGCUUAGACAACCAGGAUGUUGGCUUAGAAGCAGCCACCAUUGAAAGAGUGCGUAAUAGCUCACUGGUCGAGUGACCCCGCGCCGAAAAUGUACCGGGG
rnacentral:rRNA from 1 species